GUGACUUUACUAAUCAUCAAGAACCUAUUAUGAGUGUGCGAGAUUAAGCAUGCUGAGAAAUCAUGGGUGCGUCAGUCAUGAGUUGUGUGGUAUGAUACUGAUGUUCAUGGAUUUAUAGAGCAUGAUUCGGAUUUUUGAGUCAGAAUAUUACUCUAAAUACUAGGAACUGAGAAUAGACAAACAUUUGCAUGAAGUGCGUACAUUGGAAUGAUGC
rnacentral:lncRNA from 1 species